UUAGCCCCGUUUGCUUUUGGAAGUUGAUAUAUUUGUAUAUUUAUUAUUGACCAAACAACUCGGGAGUGGCGGGAUGAUAAGUAUACACGAAGAUAAGCAAUUUGUCCAGUCACUUGUGCGGUGUUCUGUUCUGAAUGAAUUCUGACGAUGAACUGACUACCAUCGGAAGGUGUAUGGAGGAUGAAUAUAAUGCGAGAUAAGCCGGCAGAGGAGAAAGAUAAGUCAUUAGUGACAUAUGUGUGUCCAGGCAGAUUAGUGGAAUAACAUUAAAACAAUUGCCUCCGUGUUGUUCUUACUCUGGACCAGAUUCAUCCUUAUUUUAUUACCCAAACAUAAUCCGUGAUCCAUGUCAUCCCAUCAAUGAAUGAUAAAUAUUGUAUUGUACACAUAUUUCUAGUAAAUUGGAAAAACGACCGGAAGUGCAAGUUGGUUACAUAGAUUGCUUUCCCUUUCGGGGACGACAUUUUGGGGAAAUGCGAUAUAAAUAUUUGCAAAGUCCUGUAUCAACAGGAAGAAAAUGGUUAAUUAUGCAUGUACACAGCAGCUGAAUCAUUAUGAUGACACAUGCGGAACACAUUAUGUGCAGAUUGGCAUUUCCAAUUUGGGAGAUCAACAUAAGGAUGUAUUGAUUUAUUUUGACAGUUAUCACAAUUACUGCAUGUAAAUAAUCUCUCCCAUUAACUAACCCCUUUCUCAUUAAGAAUUCAUGUACGAGGAGGCAUUCCAUUGCUUGUCUAUAAAUCCGUGUGAGUAGAAUAAAUAGCGAUAUAAGAAUCGCAACAUGGAAUGAAAACCCAAUAGGUUUUGGUGGUGGAUGAUGGGAAACUGCGUCGGUAAAGAGAUUAGCUGAACAGUUGCAUUCCACUUUCUUUUCCAGCAUUCUGACAUAGAUAUCAUUCAUACUUAUCAUUGAAUCAUGUGACGUUGUCACAUGGACACAAUUAAGCACAUGAGGAAGUUCCGUUGAUUCCUAUUUUAUUGUACAUAUGUCCACAAAAUAUGCAUACAUGAGACUCCACACGUUUCGGUAUAAACUUUUUGUGUAUGUAUGUAGAUGCAAUUUUGAGGCGUGUGCAAGUCAACGAGUAAAUGCUUAGGUAAUAGUUUUCUAAGGCAGGUCAAUUUUUUCCAGAACAUAUGCGACGAUAGAAUUAUUGUAUGAAAAUCGAGGUGGUUCCAACGGGAGUGGCAUCGUUCCCACCCUCUACAAACCUAUUAACAGCAGCUUGUCAUUAAUUUUUUUUAUUUAACAAGGGGAUUGAG